AUGAAAUGUUAACUAACAUAGUGUGAAACUUACUUCCUGCAAUGGAUCUUCAAUGCUUGCCUGUUCCUCUUCUUGACACCAGACUUGGCAACUUUCAGACUCCUAUGCAC